CCCCACAGACAGGGGAGCGCCACCGGGCGCUGAGAGUGCGCGUGAGCGCAGACCCUCGGACCUGAUCCGGUUCGCACCGGCGUAGGGAGUCGGGAUUCUCCUCGG
rnacentral:ncRNA from 2 species